rnacentral:rRNA from 1 species
GGAUGACGGCCCUAUGGGUUGUAAACUUCUUUUGUACGGGAAAAAACCUCUGGUCGUGAAUCAGAGCUGAUGGUACCGUAAGAAUAAGCAUCGGCUAACUCCGUGCCAGCAGCCGCGGUAAUACGGAGGAUGCAAGCGUUAUCCGGAUUCAUUGGGUUUAAAGGGUGCGCAGGCGGAAUAAUAAGUCAGCGGUGAAAGCCUACAGCUUAACUGUAGAACUGCCAUUGAUACUGUUAUUCUUGAGUGUUGUUGAGGUAGGCGGAAUGUGUCAUGUAGCGGUGAAAUGCUUAGAUAUGACACAGAACACCGAUCGCGAAGGCAGCUUACCAAGCAACAACUGACGCUCAUGCACGAAAGCGUGGGGAUCAAACAGGAUUAGAUACCCUGGUAGUCCACGCCGUAAACGAUGAUCACUCGAUGUUGGCGAUACACAGUCAGCGUCUUAGCGAAAGUAUUAAGUGAUCCACCUGGGGAG